CUCUCCGCCCCUCCCCCCUUAUCAGCGGUUCCAAGGGGGAUUGACACCCUCCCCCCUCUCAGGCCCGUUCCCGCUACCUCCCUCAUUCCUCAGUGCUAAUUGGAGGGGGAUAAAAAUCUAUUCUCCGUCGCUGAUUGGCUGGUGAUCCCAUCCAUCAGCUGGCGAUGGAGGGCAAUCCGCCGUCCGAUUGGUCAAGGAUGGGAAGGAGGCGGUCCAGAGAGAGAGUUCUGUGUAAUUAGCAACCAAUCUUCUCCCGGAUCCCGGACACCCCUUAUCUACGUCUAGGAGGAGGAAAAUAUCCUUUGUUAUUCUACAAAACCCCAUAUCUUUGACUUUGAAGCAGAAAUGAUAAAAGCCUGGGAAUGAAAAACAAUCAAAGAUUAACACACACAAAGAGCGAAGUACUGAAGUGGAAAGAGCAAAAUGAUCCCCUUAGGACUGGAUGAAACAACACCCCGCAGGUGGAAGAGAGGCCAUGUUUGUACCCUACCUGGGGAGGUGGAGAAGUAUAGAAUGUCAGGGUUGAAAGUCAUCUAGUCCCACCCCCUGCUCAAAGCAGGACUAAUCCCCAGACAGAUUUUUGCCCCAGAUCCCUAAAUGCUCCCCUCAAGGAUUGAACUCACAGUCCUGGGUUAACAGUCUAAUACUCACACCACUGAGCUAUCCCUCCCCAUCACAAGGGAGGGGCCACUGAUGAGAUUUGGGGAGAGAAGAAGAGAAAGCGAGACAGCAGGAAGAGAAACUCAGAGAGGCAGCGAAUCAGAAGCUGACAAAGAGAGAGAGAGGUGGGAAGAGACAGAGAAACUCAUGCCAGCUCUACUCUAUAGAGUUAGGUUGAUACAAGGCAGCUUACAUCAACCUGUGUAAGCAUCUACAGUACAAUGUCGCUCCCACCGAUGUAACUCGUCCGUUAUGCCGACUUAAUAACUCCACCUCAAUGAGAGGCAUAGCACAUAGGUCAACAUAGUUGGGCAACAGUGUCAGUGCAGACACUGCGUUACUUACGUCGAGAUUAGUGGUUUUCACUAGGUUUCCCACAAUGCCGCACCAUGACCACUCUGGUCAGCGUUUUGAACUCUGCUGCCCAGUGGCCAGGUACACAGGCACAUGCCCCUCCCCUUUUAAAGGCCUACAAAUUUUUGAAAUUCUAUUUCCUUUUGCUUGGUGUGAAGAGCUCACAUAGCAACUGCCUAGGGUGACCAGACAACAAAUGUGAAAAAUUGGGACAGGGUAGGGGGGUAAUAGGAGCCUAUAUAAGAAAAAAGACCCAUAAAUCGGGACUGUCCCUAUAAAAUCAGGACAUCUGGUCACCCUACAACUGCCCAGCUGACUAUGCUGGCUCCACACAGCAAACACGCUCCUGCCUGGCGUACACAGGAGGUGAUGGAUCUCCUGGGUCUGUGGGGAGAAGAGGCUGUGCAGACACAGCUCUGAUUCAGGUGUAGAUACUUUGUCAUCUACAAGCAGAUCACUCAGAUCAGGUGGGAGAAGGGCUACAAGAGGAACACGCAUCAGUGCUGUGUGAAAGUCAAGGAGCUGUGGCAGGCAUACCAGAAGGCAAAAGAGGCAAAUGGCCACUCUGGUGCAGAGCUGCAGACAUGCUACUUCUCCAAGGAGCUGCAUGUCAUUCUCAGGGGCAAACCCCCACCCCCCACCCUCCAGGGUCCCAUGGAUACUUCGGAGGAGCUGGAGUCACAGGCCACCACAGUGAACCCUGAGAACCAGGUGUUGAACAAGGAACAAGAGAAGGAGAAUGGGGGGCAAGCAAUGAGGGGAUCCAGUAAUGCUGUGAUCCAGGACCCCUUUUGACUCCUGAGCAGCUGAGCGAGUCCCAGAAGUCCAGCGCUGGCAAGACUGAUCCAGGGGAAGGAACCUCUGCUGCAAAAGUGGCCUUGAGGGUCUCUCCAUCCACACCAGAAGAGUGGCUCAGCCAGAAAAGGACAAAGACAAGAGAAGACAUGUUCCAGGAGAUCCUGUGAGCCUCGGUGCGUUGGAUACUGAGUAGAGGGCUUGGAGGAUGACACUCAAGGACACAAUGGACAGGGAUAGUGAGGACAGGAAAAACAGGCAGCAAGAGAUGAUAGCACUUCUCAGGGAGCAAACAGACAUGCUGCAGUCUCUGACUGACCUUCAGGCUUAACAGAUCUGUUCUCACCUCCCCAUGCAGCCCACAGAGAACUGUAUUCCGGGGCAUCCCUACACAUCCCUUCCUUUACUACGUGGCAUCCGGGGCCAGUGCAGUACCCCUACCACUCCACCCUGGGGAAGAGUACAGACAAUCACAGCUGCAAAUACACUGACCUGUGAGAGACACAGUUGGUGUAUGUGUGUUUGUGAAAUGGAAAUGACUGUUCUUUCCCUUUCAGAGGUUCUUUUCCCUGUAUUUAUAAAGUUUUAUUCAGUUAUAAAUAUGUCUGUUUUCACAGGUUUGGAAUAAAAGUCUAUUU